rnacentral:lncRNA from 1 species
UGGUACGGAACCCAAGCAGAUGAAUGCUUCCCAAGUGCCAUUCAUGCAGGAACAACACCAAUAGAUUCCCAUCUUCACAACUAUAUCCGUGGAAAGGUCUACCCUACACCGAGAAUGUGGUACGUCAGGGUCAAUGUAAUUGAGGCACAGGAUAUAUUCACAAUGGAACACCACCACAUACCUGAUGUGUUUGUAAAGGUGAGGCUGGGUCACCAACUACUGAAGACAAGGCAAGUUCGCUCACCAACCAAGAACUUCAUGUGGAAUGAAGAAAUGAU